AACGAACGCUGGCGGCAGGCCUAACACAUGCAAGUCGAACGCCCCGCAAGGGGAGUGGCAGACGGGUGAGUAACGCGUGGGAACCUUCCCUAUAGUACGGAAUAUACCAGGGAAACUUGGAGCAAUACCGUAUACGCCCGAAAGGGGAAAGAUUUAUCGCUAUAGGAUGGGCCCGCGUUGGAUUAGCUAGUUGGUGAGGUAAUGGCUCACCAAGGCGACGAUCCAUAGCUGGUCUGAGAGGAUGAUCAGCCACACUGGGACUGAGACACGGCCCAGACUCCUACGGGAGGCAGCAGUGGGGAAUAUUGGGCAAUGGGCGAAAGCCUGACCCAGCCAUGCCGCGUGAGUGACGAAGGCCUUAGGGUUGUAAAGCUCUUUUGGCGGGGACGAUAAUGACGGUACCCGCAGAAUAAGCCCCGGCUAACUUCGUGCCAGCAGCCGCUGUAACAC
rnacentral:rRNA from 1 species